rnacentral:lncRNA from 1 species
GUUGGACAUCAGCUGGGGCUGGAGUCACCUGCAGGCUGGCCUGGGGUCGGGCAGGGGGAUCUGCUUCCAAGGCUCUGCUUCAGAGGCGGCUCCCUCCCACGGUAGGCGCAUGGUUUCCUGUCUCCAAAGUGGGCCUCUGCACAAGGCUGCUUGGAUGACCUCAUGAUAUGGUGGCUGCUGACCAGGGUAGAGGCUGGAACCCCUUGGAUGGCCCAACCUGGGAGGUACUAGCCAUGCCUCUGCCAUUGGGCCCGGCCACACAGGUUCCUGCCCUCUUCUCCGCUGCCCUUGUGCCUCCCGUGUCCUCGCUGCGUCCUAACCAAAUGCUGGACUGGCAGAGACUGAAAACGCCCCACGGGGCCCCUGUGGCUUGCUCACUCGGGCUCUCCGGAGAGUGGGUGCCAACCCCCUGCGCCCUGAGCAUCUUGGCUCUGCUUGGCUUGCAGCUGGAUCCCCUUUUUGGACUUUGGGGCUGCACACGCACCUUGUUCUGGAGCGAAUGGGCUCGUGAGAGCCGCAGGCCCUGAGGCAUGGCCUAACUCAGGCAGAGUAGUUGGCGAAGGCCCCAGAGGGACCCAGGCUAUCGUCCUGCAGCUGCCGGCAAAACCAUCAACGGAUGCUGACAUCAGCGAGCAAAAGUGUGAUGAAGAACGGCGAUUUGCAUCGUUUCAAAGUAUCUCUCCAUGAGAUACUUACUAAUUUCAAAGGGGACAAUGGCCAGGUGAAGCCUGGCAGAUGUCACUUACACUGAGUGAUCCAUGUUGCCAUCUCCAGGGUGACACGGUGUGCCUGUGACAUGAAGCGCCAAGGGGAACCCAAUGUCAUUUCUGGGGUUCUUCCUGCCCCAAACAGUCCAUUUGGUUAAACUCACGAGAGUGUGUGCUUGUCGAUGUAGCUGAUUCUGUAUGGGUGGGGAUUUGGACCAGCCCUUCACUACUCAAAGUGGGGUCUGUACACCAGCAGCAGGGUUACCUCCUUAACCCCGAGCUUGUAAGAAAGCACAGCCAAGCAUGGUGGCUCAUGUUUGUAAUCCUAGCACUUUGGGAGGCUGAGGUGGGUGGAUCAUCUGAGGUCAGGAGUUUGAGACCAGCCUGGCCAACAUGAUGAAACCCCGUUUCUACUAAAAAUACAAAAAUUAGCCAGGCGUGGUGAUGGGUGCCUGUAAUCCCAGCUACGUGGGAGGCUGAGGCAGGAGAAUCACUUGAACCCAGAAGGUGCAGGUUGCAGUGAGCUGAGAUCGUGCCACUGCACUCCAGCCUGGGCGACAAGAGCGAAACUCUGUCUCAAAAAAAAAAAAAAAAAAGAAAGAAAGAAAGAAAGAAAUUAAGAGUCUCGGGCCCUGCCCCAGACCUAGAAUCAGGACCUGCAUGUUAACAAACCCCACAUCUGUGAUCCCUGUCCACAGUAAAGGCUGAGAAUGCUUAAUCCAAAACACCUUCCGCCUCCCAGAGCUUGUGGCUUUGAUGCCAUUUGUCUGAACAUCACAAGGAACCACGUGGGAAAACAGGACUUCGUGGCGUGCCCUGGCAGACAAGCCAAAGCAACUGUGGGCAUCAGGCUGUGGGGCGGCAUCCCUAGGACUCAGAAUAAUGCCUGCGCACAGUAGGCACGGAAGUAUUUGUGGAAGGAAGAAAUGGAGAUCAUCAUGAAAUAAGCGCUAUUGGCCGGGCACGGUGGCUCACGCCUGUAAUCCCAGCACUUCGGGAGGCCGAGGUAGGCGGAUCACCUGAGGUUAGGAGUUCGAGACCAGCCUGGCCAACAUGAUGAAACCUUAUCUCUACUAAAAAAAAAAAAAAA